rnacentral:lncRNA from 10 species
UUAAGUGGUGAAGUACAAACAAUGAGAGGUGCCUCCAGCAGCUCCCUGGACUCCUUCUCCCCAAGGGGAAAAGGAAACUGAAUAAAGGAAAACAUGGACAACCUCAAAUGCAGAAACAUGACAUAUUUUCUCAUGAGGACAGCGUGGCCCAGGAGAAAGAGGGAACUUCCAGCAUCUAUGAGGAAACAGAAUUUCUUUUGAUCACAGAAGAAAAGAGAAGAAUAUUAACCAUGGAGUGUCCACCAGUGAGAGAGUUUCUGUGCAUUAGUUCUUGGAGGGACAGGGAACCUUGGUGAGAGAGAACAGACUGGAAGUAACUGGGUGUGGUUUUCCUGCUGCCCCAGCCUGGGGCUCAGCACCAGAUCUCCUAUCUGGUGGCUGCACCAUAAGUCCCAGUCUUCCCAGAGGCAGGGUCUGAAACCAAAGCCCCUCAAGGACAGGAGAUCUACCUCUGGGCUUGGAAUCAAGAGGACCAGUCGUUCCGGGAGGCCUCCCUGCUACCUUUGGGGCCUUUGGCAAGUCCCUGAAAGUUUCCAGGUUUCAGCCACCUAUUUGGGCUCUGGGGAGAGGAAUGCCUACCAUUUGCCUCUGGCUCUGGGAUUUUAAAAGGAAAAGCAGCAGAGUCUUUGGAAAAACCAAUCUCUGAAGACCCAGGGUGAACAUUAGUUACAACACCCUAGCUUCGAGGUGAUGUAAACUUCAGGUACGGAGGUUACGCUCAGAGGAAUAAAGGAGCAUUCGUCAAACAUGAGCUCCCCUCGAUUGUGGUCUAGGGUGGAGACCAGUUAUUCAAGUGUCUGUGGGCCCAGGCAGGUAAUGAAAAUGUAGUUAUGGGGGAACGCCCGGCUCAGAACAGGCGUAGAGUAAAUAGUUGUUGUUGACUGACUGAAGGAAUAAAAGUGGGUCUGAUAUAAGACAAUAGGGAAUGGUACAAACCUUGUCAAACUGGAAGGUACAUGACUUGAAUUUGAUGUUCAAACUAUUGCUUUUUAAAACACUAGUUUAAACAUCUUCUGGCCCUAGAGCUACCAAUUUGUAUCUCUGUAUCCACUUUUAUAUAUUUUAGGCCCAUUUAAAAGACCAGGAAAGGAGGAAAAUAAAUCUAGCAGUAUAGGACGUUCUUAAUCUUGUCAGUUAACCCUAAUUUUAACACCCCAUCUCUGUUUGUCAUUCUACUUAACCACUUUGGAUUAAGCAAAUUCAGUCACUUUGGAAAUAGUACGUGUGGAUGGUACCUUACAGGAUGAAGGACCAUAACAAUAUUCUCUAGCGCAGGCCUCUACCUCCACAGGGGGACAGACUGAUGAGCCAGAUCAACUCCUGCAUCCUCUUCCUCAAGGAAAGCCCCCAUCAAUAAAACCACAAGGUUACAGUGGAGCCAGAGGGAGAGCUGGCCUGAGUUGAGACCUCCUCAUGGAACUCAUGGCUUCAGUUUCCUAAAAUGGGGAUUGUACUCCCCUAGCUCUCCUUGCUUCACAGAGCUGUUUGUGACAACUCAUGAGUAAUGUUAUGUGAAAGGGCUUCACACACUGCAGUGUGCUGAAUAAAUGUAAAGAGUCCAUGCUAUCCAAUUUGGAGACAGAAAUUAGAGGACUCCUCCUCACACUAGUUAAGUACAUCUCUUAAAUUGCUUGGACUGUUGGCGUGGUUCUCGCCAGAGUUGAAUAUAAUUCCUCUGUUGAUGGGUCAGCCUUUAUUUCCCCCAGUGCUGUUUCUUACUUGAGUUAAUGAGUCCAAAGCUCAUGUUUGCAUGCUACCUCUGACCCUCACUAAGUGCUCACCUGCAGCUCUGCCCUGUCCUCAGAAUGAUGUGACCCUCAGGGCCAAACACUCCACAGGCUGCACUCUGCCACCUCCAAAUCCCCACCAGUGGGUCCAAUUCUCAGUCAUCUGCUUGUUGUAUUUCUGUUGUUUCUGUAUUCAUGUCAAGGAUAUUUGGCUGCAGAAUUCCUGCAAUAUAUUUUAGGUGAAUGUGCAGCAUGAUCUUAUUCUGGAGUCCAGGAGACUCCACCUAGGAUUGCUCACAAGUAGGUCAAGUGGAGGGGGUGGCUAAGGCCAGUUUUUCUGCUUGCUAUGCUGGUGCAGGCAGAGGCUUUAGAGUUAUGUUUCCAAUAAAAGGCAUAGAUUUUCACUGCCUGAUGAUCAAAGUCAAACUCCUAAGCCUGGAAUUUGAGGCUCUCAAAAUCUGGCAAUAUCAUUUUUUCCUUCUUCUCUUCUAGUUUCUUCUGUGCACCACAGGCCUCAUGCACCAGGGUGCACCCCCUUCCAUGUACAUAUUCCACAUUUUCACACAUCAAGCAUGCAUAUGUACAAUUUAUACAUACAGUUUCCUCUGAUUCUUUUUUGUCCUUAAAUGUCUGCCUGCUAUCAUCAUGACCAUUUUUAGGGAGAAAUGCUUACCCGUACCUCCUAUUUCCACAGAGAGGAGAGGCAAAGUCGAGAGUUUCACCACUCUCUUUAGGAGGAGAAAAGAUGGAGGAACAUUCCCAGCCCCUGACUCCAUCUUUGACUCGCUCUUCCUAGGAGAAGAGGAGUAACUGGGAUCAGAACCUGAGCAUACCCAGCUCAGCUCCACCAUCCCUCCGUCUUCAGGGCUCCUCCUGCCUGCAGAUCAAGGGCUUCUUGCCUGGCUCCCACUUACUUUCUCCCUGUGGUUGCCGUCUAGAGGCAGUCAUGAAGCCCCGUGCUCAGGGCAAGUCCCUCCACGGGGGCAGGACUGGCAUGAAGGAGUAAUGCCCUCUGUAGUGGGAAGGGUGAGAACGUCUGCCUGGGACUGGCCCUGCCCUCAUAAGGGUUUAUACUGCAAAGGCAGGGGAAAGAGGCCUGUUCUCCAAUCCAGAGUUACCAACUGAUAGUUUGAGUUUCUUCCUUCUGGCCCUAGUGCCCAUACUGAAUUGACUCUGAAUCCUCAGAGGAAGAGAGAAAUUAUUUAUGUCCUAAAACCUCAACAGCUAAAUGUCACAUCUUCAAAGACGUUUCAGACCUUCCUUGUCAGGUGUGAUCAUUCCUUC